rnacentral:tRNA from 3 species
AACUAAACUGUAGAAAGUAUGUAUUAGUGUAUCUUGGACGCGAGUUCGAUUCUCGCCAUCUCCACCA